UCAAUAAGCGGAGGAAAAGAAACCAACUGGGAUUGCCUUAGUAACGGCGAGUGAAGCGGCAAUAGCUCAAAUUUGAAAGCUGGCGCCUUCGGCGUCCGCGUUGUAAUUUGUAGAGGAUGCUUCGGCGAGGACUCCUGCCUAAGUUCCCUGGAAUGGGACGUCACAGAGGGUGAGAAUCCCGUAUGUGGCGGGCGGUCCAAGCCAUGUGAAGCUCCUUCGACGAGUCGAGUUGUUUGGGAAUGCAGCUCUAAAUGGGAGGUAAAUUUCUUCUAAAGCUAAAUACCGGCCAGAGACCGAUAGCGCACAAGUAGAGUGAUCGAAAGAUGAAAAGCACUUUGGAAAGAGAGUUAAAAAGUACGUGAAAUUGUUGAAAGGGAAGCGCUUGCAACCAGACUCGCUCGCAGUUGCUCAGCCUGCCUCUUGGCGGGUGUACUCUUCUGUGAUCGGGCCAGCAUCAGUUCGGGCGGCCGGAUAAAGGUGUCGGGAAUGUAGCACCCUUCGGGGUGUGUUAUAGCCCGGCGCGGAAUGCGGCCAGCCUGGACUGAGGAUCUCGCUUCGGCAAGGAUGCUGGCGUAAUGGUUGUAAGCGGCCCGUCUUGAAACACGGACCAAGGAGUCUAACAUCUAUGCGAGUGUUUGGGUGUCAAACCCAUGCGCGUAAUGAAAGUGAACGGAGGUGGGAACCCGCAAGGGUGCACCAUCGACCGAUCCUGAUGUCUUCGGAUGGAUUUGAGUAAGAGCAUAGCUGUUGGGACCCGAAAGAUGGUGAACUAUGCCUGAAUAGGGUGAAGCCAGAGGAAACUCUGGUGGAGGCUCGCAGCGGUUCUGACGUGCAAAUCGAUCGUCAAAUUUGGGUAUAGGGGCGAAAGACUAAUCGAACCAUCUAGUAGCUGGGUC
rnacentral:rRNA from 1 species